UACGAAGGGGCUAGCGUUGCUCGGAAUGACUGGGCGUAAAGGGCGCGUAGGCGGAUGGUACAGUCAGAUGUGAAAUUCCCGGGCUCAACCUGGGGCUGUAUUGAUACGUGCUGUCUUGAGUUCGGAAGAGGGUCGUGGAAUUCCCAGUGUAGAGGUGAAAUUCGUAGAUAUUGGGAAGAACACCGGUGGCGAAGGCGGCGACCUGGUCCGAGACUGACGCUGAGGCGCGAAAGCGUGGGGAGCAAACAGG
rnacentral:rRNA from 1 species